rnacentral:rRNA from 1 species
AUUGAACGCUGGCGGCAGGCCUAACACAUGCAAGUCGAGCGAGCGGCGGACGGGUGAGUAAUGUCUGGGAAACUGCCUGAUGGAGGGGGGUAACUACUGGAAACGGUAUCUAAUACCGCAUACCAUCAGAUGUUCCCAGAGGGGUUUAGCUCGUGGGUGGGGUAACGGCUAACCUAGGCGACGAUCCCUAGCUGGUCUGAGAGGAUGACCAGCCACACUGGAACUGAGACACGGUCCAGACUCCUACGGGAGGCAGCAGUGGGGAAUAUUGGACAAGGGGCGAAAGCCUGAUCCAGCCAGGCCGCGUGUGUGAAGAAGGUCUUCGGAUUGUAAAGCACUUUAAGUUGGGAGGCGUUACCAACAGAAUAAGCACCGGCUAACUUCGUGCCAGCAGCCGCGGUAAUAC